GCCGGGCACAGUGGUGCUCGCCUGUAAUCCCAGUGGCUCAGGAGGCUGAGGCAGGAGGAUCUCGAAUUCAAAGCCAGCCUCAU
rnacentral:sRNA from 1 species